rnacentral:rRNA from 1 species
UGAUCCAGCCAUGCCGCGUGAGUGAAGAAGGCCUUCGGGUUGUAAAGCUCUUUUGUCAGGGAAGAAACGGCUGAGGCUAAUAUCCUCGGCUAAUGACGGUACCUGAAGAAUAAGCACCGGCUAACUACGUGCCAGCAGCCGCGGUAAUACGUAGGGUGCAAGCGUUAAUCGGAAUUACUGGGCGUAAAGCGUGCGCAGGCGGUUUUGUAAGUCUGUCGUGAAAGCCCCGGGCUCAACCUGGGAAUUGCGAUGGAGACUGCAAGGCUUGAAUCUGGCAGAGGGGGGUAGAAUUCCACGUGUAGCAGUGAAAUGCGUAGAGAUGUGGAGGAACACCGAUGGCGAAGGCAGCCCCCUGGGUCAAGAUUGACGCUCAUGCACGAAAGCGUGGGGAGCAAACAGGAUUAGAUACCCUGGUAGUCCACGCCCUAAACGAUGUCUACUAGUUGUCGGGUUUUAAUUAACUUGGUAACGCAGCUAACGCGUGAAGUAGACCGCCUGGGGAGUACGGUCGCAAGAUUAAAACUCAAAGGAAUUUGAC